rnacentral:rRNA from 1 species
AUUGAACGCUGGCGGCAUGCCUUACACAUGCAAGUCGAACGGUAACGCGGGGCAACCUGGCGACGAGUGGCGAACGGGUGAGUAAUGUAUCGGAACGUGCCCUGUUGUGGGGGAUAACUGCUCGAAAGAGCAGCUAAUACCGCAUACGACCUGAGGGUGAAAGCGGGGGAUCGCAAGACCUCGCGCAAUUGGAGCGGCCGAUAUCAGAUUAGGUAGUUGGUGGGGUAAAGGCUCACCAAGCCAACGAUCUGUAGCUGGUCUGAGAGGACGACCAGCCACACUGGGACGGAGACACGGCCCAGACUCCUACGGGAGGCAGCAGUGGGGAAUUUUGGCCAAUGGACGCAAGUCUGAUCCAGUCAUGCCGCGUGCGGGAAGAAGGCCUUCGGGUUGUAAACCGCUUUUGUCAGGGAAGAAACGCUCUGGGUUAAUACCUCGGGGUAAUGACGGUACCUGAAGAAUAAGCACCGGCUAACUACGUGCCAGCCGCCGCCGUAACAC